rfam:Myotis davidii contig9482, whole genome shotgun sequence.
AGGCCUGGAGAGAGAGGCAGGGUCUGAUCCAUAGCCCUUGUGGCAGCUGUUGAUCAGCCAUUGCCUCUCUCUUUCUCUCCA